AGAGACACACACACACACACACACACACACACACACAGAACCAACGCGUCGUCGCUUUGAUCCAGCUUGAUCUUUACAUUCACUCUUGGAUAACUGGACAAAGUGAUAAACUGGUUAGUUAUGUUUCCUAGUCUCUGGUUAACUCUCCCGUACUCACAUUUCUGAAGAAAUCCAAAUGUUCCGCGGCUGCAGAACUGCAACUGAUCCAACUCUUCUACAUUAUUAAUUAAACCAGCCCUAAACAAAAGCCGAUGGUCAGUAAAAAACACACACACUUGACAUGCAAAAUACGUUUGGUAUUAACGUAAAAAAAAAAUCGCAAUAAGAAACUCACAGAGCGAUAUAAAGUGUAUCAGAAAAGGUGCGUUGAUUGUGAAGCGUGUGAAAGGAAGGGGAACUCAGUCUGCCGGAACCUUCGGUGAAGCCGUCAGGGAAUGAAAUAAGAGUUGCACGUCACGUGUCGUGCUGGUAUUCGGCUUUUGCGCAGGUGAGAUUUUACCGUAAUCAGUUUAAACGCUGUUGUUUGUCAGUCAUACUGAAACGGUCUGCUAAAGUCUCUAGGCACCUGUUUCUGUUACGAGCGCCAUGUCUUGCGCCACUGACUAUGACGUGCAGUUCGCGUCGCGUUUCUCGGCGGAGGACGCGGAGUUCCAGCGGUCCGGCAGCGCGAGCCAGACCCGCCGCCCGUGCUCGAGGACUGGAGAGCGGCGCGCGGGCGCAGAGACAGGGACAGACGACUCCCGGAGCAGCGGCAGCACGAGCCCCGCGGGCAUCAUUUCCCGGACCGCCGCAAUGAACGGAACUCCGGCUCUCAGUCUCACGGCCAGAGGUCUCGUUACUGACCCACGGCGACGGCGUCUGACCUAGUGUGCGAUGUUUGUUUGAUCAUUCCUUUCCUUGGUGGAAUUACACUUCCCUUUGUAAAUAAAGCAGUUCAAAUUAUAUCCUGCCCUCAGUGUGUGUGUGUGUGUGUGUGAGAGAGAGAGAGAGAGAGAGAGAGAGUGUUUAGGUGUGUGUGUUCAUUGUGGCUGAUGUUCAUCUAUUUUAAAGCAGCAUUUUGAGCCUCGGGCA
rnacentral:lncRNA from 1 species